UCAAACCACAUAGUCCAUAACCACAAGA
rnacentral:piRNA from 1 species